GUCGAACGGUAACAGGUUAAGCUGACGAGUGGCGAACGGGUGAGUAAUAUAUCGGAACGUGCCCAGUCGUGGGGGAUAACUGCUCGAAAGAGCAGCUAAUACCGCAUACGACCUGAGGGUGAAAGCGGGGGAUCGCAAGACCUCGCGCGAUUGGAGCGGCCGAUAUCAGAUUAGCUAGUUGGCGGGGUAAAAGCCCACCAAGGCGACGAUCUGUAGCUGGUCUGAGAGGACGACCAGCCACACUGGGACUGAGACACGGCCCAGACUCCUACGGGAGGCAGCAGUGGGGAAUUUUGGACAAUGGACGCAAGUCUGAUCCAGCCAUGCCGCGUGUGGGAAGAAGGCCUUCGGGUUGUAAACCACUUUUGUCAGGGAAGAAACGGUCUAGGUUAAUACCUUGGGCUAAUGACGGUACCUGAAGAAUAAGCACCGGCUAACUACGUGCCAGCAGCCGCGGUAAUACGUAGGGUGCAAGCGUUAAUCGGAAUUACUGGGCGUAAAGCGUGCGCAGGCGGUUAUGCAAGACAGAUGUGAAAUCCCCGGGCUCAACCUGGGAACUGCAUUUGUGACUGCAUGGCUAGAGUACGGUAGAGGGGGAUGGAAUUCCGCGUGUAGCAGUGAAAUGCGUAGAUAUGCGGAGGAACACCGAUGGCGAAGGCAAUCCCCUGGACCUGUACUGACGCUCAUGCACGAAAGCGUGGGG
rnacentral:rRNA from 1 species